AACGAACGCUGGCGGCAUGCCUAACACAUGCAAGUCGAACGAGACCGCCGGGCUUUGGGGCGCACGGCGGCGUAAGGCGGGGGAACUUGCACGUAGGUAACGAAUACCUGACUGAAAGGUAUCUUAAUACAGCAGAAUGUCUUACGACCUAAGAUCUAUUGCCGUUGGAUGGGCCCGCGUUGGAUUAGCUGGUUGGUAGGGUAAUAGCAUAUCAACGCGACGAUGCAUAGCUGGUCUGAGAGCAUGAUCAGCCACGCUGGGGCUGAGACACGGCCGAGAAUCCUACGGAAGGGAGCAGUGUAGAAUAUUGGACGCUGAGCGAAAGCCUGAUCCAGCAACGCCGGGUAAGUGAUGAAGGCCUUAGGGUUGUAAAGCUCUUUUACCCGGGAUGAUAGUGACGGUAACGGGUAAAUAAGCACCGGCUAACUCCGUG
rnacentral:rRNA from 1 species